rnacentral:rRNA from 1 species
CUACGGGUGGCUGCAGUUAGGAAUAAUCUACAAUGCGCGCAAGCGUGAUAGUUUGAGCCAGAGUGUGUUUCAAAUUGAAACACUUUUUUGCACUGUAAAAAGGUGCAAGAAUAAGGACUGGGUAAGACUAGUGCCAGCCGCCGCGGUAAUACUAGCGGUCCAAGUCGCAGCCAUUUUUAUUGGGUCUAAAACAUCCGUAGCUUGCUUUGUAAGUCCCUUGUGAAAUUAUAUCUCUAAAAGGUAUAGCGUGUGAGGGUUACUGCAAAGCUAGAGACUGGAAGACGUAAGAAGUAUGUUCAAAGUAGCGGUAAAAUGUGUUAAUCUUGAGCAGACUAACAAUAGCGAAGGCAUCUUACGAGGACAGUUCUGACAGUAAGGGAUGAAAGCUAGGGGCGCAAAACGGAUUAGAUACCCGGGUAGUC